AAAUCACAUAAAGAUAUCUUUAUAUCUUGAUUGGGCCGAAGAUGAUUGAACCCUUGAAGCUUGGAUUGGAUGGGCUGGUGGACGUCUUGAAGGCGGC
rnacentral:sRNA from 1 species